rnacentral:rRNA from 1 species
GUCUACAGCCAUCCCACCCUAAAUGUGCCCGACCUCGUCUGAUCUCAGAAGCUAAGCAGGGUCAGGCCUGGUUAGUACUUGGAUGGGAGAAAUGCUGGAUACAACAAAAA